rnacentral:rRNA from 1 species
GACGAAGGGGGCUAGCGUUGUUCGGAAUUACUGGACGUAAAGCGCGUGUAGGCGGUUGCCCAAGUCGGGUGUGAAAGCCUUGAGCUCAACUCAAGAAAUGCACUCGGUACUGGGUGACUAGAGGACCGGAGAGGAUAGUGGAAUUCCCAGUGUAGUGGUGAAAUACGUAGAGAUUGGGAAGAACACCAGUGGCGAAGGCGGCUAUCUGGACGGUUUCUGACGCUAAGACGCGAAAGCGUGGGGAGCAAACAGG